GACGAACGCUGGCGGCGUGCUUAACACAUGCAAGUCGAACGGAAAGGCCCUGCUUUUGUGGGGUGCUCGAGUGGCGAACGGGUGAGUAACACGUGAGUAACCUGCCCUUGACUUUGGGAUAACUUCAGGAAACUGGGGCUAAUACCGGAUAGGAGCUCCUGCUGCAUGGUGGGGGUUGGAAAGAUUCGGCGGUUGGGGAUGGACUCGCGGCUUAUCAGCUUGUUGGUGGGGUAGUGGCUUACCAAGGCUUUGACGGGUAGCCGGCCUGAGAGGGUGACCGGCCACAUUGGGACUGCGAUACGGACCAGACUCCUACGGGAGGCAGCAGUGGGGAAUAUUGCACAAUGGGCGGAAGCCUGAUGCAGCAACGCCGCGUGCGGGAUGACGGCCUUCGGGUUGUGAACCGCUUUCGCCUGUGACGAAGCGUGAGUGACGGUAAUGGGUAAAGAAGCACCGGCUAACUACGUG
rnacentral:rRNA from 1 species